rnacentral:rRNA from 1 species
UUUCGAAUCAUUCACAAUGGGCGCAAGCCUGAUGGUGCAAUGCCGCGUGGGGGAUGACGGUCUUCGGAUUGUAAACCCCUGUCACCAAGGACUAAACCGACGUGAAGAGCGUCGCUGAAUUAACUUGGAGAGGAAGAGGUGGCUAACUCCGUGCCAGCAGCCGCGGUAAUACGGAGACCUCGAGCGUUACUCGGAUUCACUGGGCGUAAAGGGAGCGCAGGCGGUUUGGUGUGUCAGGUGUGAAAUCCCAGGGCUUAACUCUGGAACUGCGCCUGAAACUACCAAACUUGAGACUCGGAGAGGUAAGCGGAAUUUCUGGUGUAGCGGUGAAAUGCGUAGAUAUCAGAAGGAACACCCAUGGCGAAGGCUGCUUACUGGACGAGAUCUGACGCUCAGGCUCGAAAGCGUGGGGAGCGAAAGGGAUUAGAUACCCCCGUAGUCC